rnacentral:rRNA from 1 species
AUUUCCCUCUGGCGGUAGGCCUAACACAUGCAAGUCGAACGGCAGCACAGUAAGAGCUUGCUCUUACGGGUGGCGAGUGGCGGACAGGUGAGGAAUACAUCGGAAUCUACUUUUUCGUGGGGGAUAACGUAGGGAAACUUACGCUAAUACCGCAUACGACCUACGGGUGAAAGCAGGGGAUCUUCGGACCUUGCGCGAUUGAAUGAGCCGAUGUCGGAUUAGCUAGUUGGCGGGGUAAAGGCCCACCAAGGCGACGAUCCGUAGCUGGUCUGAGAGGAUGAUCAGCCACACUGGAACUGAGACACGGGCCAGACUCCGACGGGAGGCAGCAGUGGGGAAUAUUGGACAAUGGGCGCAAGCCUGAUCCAGCCAUACCGCGUGGGUGAAGAAGACCUGCGGGUUGUAAAGCCCUUUUGUUGGGAAAGAAAAGCAGCAGGUUAAUACCCCGCUGUUCUGACGGUACCCAAAGAAUAAGCACCGGCUAACUGCGU